GGCAGACAAGGCCCAAGGUGCUCUAACCAAGAUGGAGCAGAGGACAAAGGAGGUCUGAAAGUAAAGUCCUGUAUAACAGGAAAAAAAUUGGUUAAGAUGACUCCAGUAGACUGCUUCUCUGUGACCUUCCCGAAGGUGUUUGUGACCUGGUGACCUCUAGGCAUCUGUGACCUGCCAACCUCUAGGCAUCUUUCAGGAUCCAACUGUAAAGUCUGCAGCCAAACUUCCUUGUCUCCAGUCCAGUCAAGGGCAGAGCACCAGGGGUGUCCCUUUGAAAGCAUCCCCUACAGAGAAAGAAGAUAGCUUCACUGAGAGGCUUCUGGUGGGGCAAGGAGCCAGCAUCUGCCCUCAGCUGCCUAGCCCUCUGCUCACUUGUGGGACCCCAUUCAUCCUGUUUGGCCUUCAGUUCGCCAGGCCUGAACCAGUUGCCUGCAUAAGGUAGUGCUUCUCCCAGCCUCCACACAGGAGAAUAUUUUGGAUCACAGGGCUUUCUCCAAGGUUCUGAGAUCUUGGAUUUGAUUCUCAUGUGGGACUAGGGGACAUCGGUCCUGGAUCAGAUGGGUAUAAACGUGUGUGGGUCUCUGCAUGCACAUGCAUAUCUGUAUGUAUGUGUAUGUUGUGUGCAUGUUUGUCUAUACAUACUCAUGCCUAUGUGUGUCUGUGUUUGUGCACCUGUC
rnacentral:lncRNA from 1 species